CCCACAGAGGCUGAGAAGGUGAUGGUGGUUCAGGAAAGGGAGAUAGAUGGUAGCCCAUCACCUUUCCCUCUCCCCUAG
ensembl:miRNA